GGCUCAGGACGAACGCUGGCGGCGUGCCUAAAACAUGCAGGUCGAACGGUGUAGCAAUACACAGUGGCGAACGGCGGAGUAAUACAUAAGCAACGUGCCCUGAAGACUGGGAUAGUCAGAGGAAACUCUGGGUAAUACCAGAUGUGGCCGUUUCCCCGCAUGGGGAGACGAUCAAAUGGUUUUUCGCUUCAGGAGCGGCUUAUGGCCUAUCAGGUAGUUGGUGGGGUAAUGGCCUACCAAGCCGACGACGGGUAGCGGGUCUGAGAGGAUGAUCCGCUCGAGUGGGACUGAGACACGGCCCACACACCUACGGGUGGCAGCAGUUGGGAAUCUUGCACAAUGGGGGAAACCCUGAUGCAGCGACGCCGCGUGGAGGAUGAAGGAUCUAGGUCUGUAAACUCCUUUUUCAGGGAAAGACUUAGGACGGUACCCUGAGAAUAAGGACCGGCUAACUACGUGCCAGCAGCCGCGGUAAGACGUAGGGUCCAAGCGUUGUCCGGAUUUACUGGGCGUAAAGAGCGCGUAGGCGGCUCGUUAAGUGUGAAGCUAAAUCUCUAGGCUCAACCUGGAAACUAUUUCGCAUACUGGCAAGCUAGAGUGAUGAAGAGGUUUGUGGAAUUCCUGGUGUAGCGGUGAAAUGCGUUGAUAUCAGGAGGAACACCCAUGGCGAAGGCAGCAAACUGGUCAUCAACUGACGCUGAGGCGCGAAAGCGUGGGUAGCAAACAGGAUUAGAUACCCUGGUAGUCCACGCCCUAAACGAUGGAUACUAGGCGUAAGAGGUAUCGACCCCUCUUGUGCCGCAGCUAACGCAUUAAGUAUCCCGCCUGGGGAGUACGGCCGCAAG
rnacentral:rRNA from 1 species